UACGGAGGGUGCAAGCGUUAUCCGGAUUCACUGGGUUAAAGGGUGCGUAGGCGGCUAUAUAAGUCAGUGGUGAAAGCCCGCAGCUCAACUGCGGAAUUGCCAUUGAAACUGCAUAGCUUGAAUCUGGUUGAAGUGGGCGGAAUACAUCAUGUAGCGGUGAAAUGCUUAGAUAUGAUGUAGACACCGAUGCGAAGGCAGCUCACUAAGCCACAUUGACGCUGAGGCACGAAAGCGUGGGUAGCGAACAGG
rnacentral:rRNA from 1 species